UUUUUGUUCAUUCACUCAUGCAUUCAUUCACUUUCUCAUUCUCUUAAGAAACAUUUAUUAAGCAUCUCUUCACUGGACUGAUGCACUGGAUGACAAGGACACCACCUUAGCCUCAGGGAGCCCAGUCUUGUCCCAGAGGAAGACUCUGUCAUGAGAAGUGUCUGAAAGGACAUCAGAGCACUUAACUCCCUUGGGACGGGACUUUCUCAGCCCCUGGGCUCCCACCAGCUCUGGCCAUGCCCACCAUGUGCACAUUUCUCAGACACCAGUCCAUCCAGCCAUGCUCUGCGCACCCUCCUGUGUGCCUGGGGCUGCCCUGACCUGGCCCACCCUCCACAACAUGUGACUGGAGGUGAAGAUGGAGGGAUGAAGAAAACAGCAGCCACCUGGUUCUCAAAACAGAUCUGAAGGAGGAGGAGGCAAGGGGAGAGAAGAUUCGAGAAGCCAGAGGUAGCUGCAGGGCCGGGGUGGGGGGGGUGGGGGGGGACAGCAGUGGGAGGGAGCAUUGUCCAACUGACAGGGUGGAGUGGAGA
rnacentral:lncRNA from 12 species